AGAUUUCAUUUCUCACUGAAAUAAACAUCCACACAGUCAGGAAGCAGGUUGAAGGCAUACAGUCAGCAGAUAAAUCCUCCAGCUCCACUUUCCUUAUCCCAUCUCUGCAGCAAAAUGCAUUGAGUUGUCAUCUGCCAUUUGUGUAUUCAUUCUAAUUCUUUCUGCCUUGUUAUUCUGUCAAUUUCUUAAUCUAUUUACACUGACUUUAUUUUCAGUGUGUCUAUUGUGACAGCAAAUCCUGGAAUUGCCUUGGGUGUUGUCUGAAAAUGGCCAUUAUCAAAUCAUAAUGCCUACCCAGAUGAGGAACUGUAAAGGCCCUAGGCAUCAGUAGGAGUCCUUAACAGCUGCCUGCAGUUUAGACCUGCAUAUCAAUUUCCACCUUAGAGGAUCUGCUACAGCAUUGUAAGAGGUGAAAGUAAAAACAAGAUAUCAAUAAAGCCAUGUCCUUUGCUGUGUACGGAGCCUCCAUGGACAGCACAAGAUCCUCGACAUCUUGCCUCUCUCUGCAAGGCCCUGGUUUUGCAAGCCCUUGUACAAGACUGAUCACAUUGAAAUCAGGAGAAUUUUUAUCACAUGGAUAAAUUUAGUGCUUCAGAUUUUGGAAUAAAAUAUCACUGACCUGG
rnacentral:lncRNA from 1 species